AUGACCGGAGCCAAGCGGCACAAUGCUGGCAUCCGUCAGGGUCCAAUCUUCUGGCCUGUUCACGUCUGUCCACAAAUCCUGCAGCACGGGCGGCCUCAACUCGACCACUUUGCUAGUAUUAAUAAAACCCUCCAUUUUAUCCUAGAUGAUUUCAUCCUUAUACUAAAAGGAUUUGUUCCUUACAUAUCAAAGUCUACACCUUACACAGUAGAAAAGACCGCAAUAAGUAGCAUAUACAUGAGGCAGAAGGGCCUAACCCAAACAUCCGUUGGCGAGCGUGAUGGCCAUGACCCCAGGAACUUGGUGUCCUCCUUCCCCUCAAGCUUGUUUGGUCCGAAGAUUUGGAGGCGCUGGUUAGCCAAACACUUGUUCUAG
rnacentral:rRNA from 1 species